rnacentral:rRNA from 1 species
GACGAACGCUGGCGGCGUGCCUAAUACAUGCAAGUAGAACGCUGAAGAGAGGAGCUUGCUCUUCUUGGAUGAGUUGCGAACGGGUGAGUAACGCGUAGGUAACCUGCCUUGUAGCGGGGGAUAACUAUUGGAAACGAUAGCUAAUACCGCAUAACAAUGGAUGACACAUGUCAUUUAUUUGAAAGGGGCAAUUGCUCCACUACAAGAUGGACCUGCGUUGUAUUAGCUAGUAGGUGAGGUAAUGGCUCACCUAGGCGACGAUACAUAGCCGUCCUGAGAGGGUGAUCGGCCACACUGGGACUGAGACACGGCCCAGACUCCUACGGGAGGCAGCAGUAGGGAAUCUUCGGCAAUGGGGGCAACCCUGACCGAGCAACGCCGCGUGAGUGAAGAAGGUUUUCGGAUCGUAAAGCUCUGUUGUAAGUCAAGAACGGGUGUGAGAGUGGAAAGUUCACACUGUGACGGUAGCUUACCAGAAAGAGACGGCUAACUACGUG